GCACUGGGGAAUCUUGCACAAUGGGCGAAAGCCUGAUGCAGCGACGCCGCGUGGGGGAUGAAGCUUUUGGGAGUGUAAACCCCUUUCGACCCGGACGAAUGCCCCGCAAGGGGACUGACGGUACGGGUAUAAGAAGCCCCGGCUAGCUACGUGCCAGCAGCCGCGGUAAGACGUAGGGGGCCAGCGUUGCUCGGAAUUACUGGGUGUAAAGGGUUCGUAGGCGGUGUGGCAAGUCGGGAGUGAAAUCUCUGGGCUCAACCCAGAGUCUGCUUCCGAAACUGCUGUGCUUGAGUGUGGGAGAGGCGCGUGGAAUUGCAGGUGUAGCGGUGAAAUGCGUAGAUAUCUGCAGGAACACCCGUGGCGAAAGCGGCGCGCUGGACCACUACUGACGCUGAGGAACGAAAGCUAGGGGAGCAAACAGGAUUAGAUACCCUGGUAGUCCACGCCGUAAACGAUGGGCACUAGAUGCUUGGGGGAGCGACCCCCUGAGUGUCGUCGCUAACGCAUUAAGUGCCCCGCCUGGGGAGUACGGCCGCAAGGCUGAAACUCAAAGGAAUUGACG
rnacentral:rRNA from 1 species